GAUUCUUCUUCGACGUUCCCAGUUUCGCCGUGUUUUUGGCUGUUAAGUGCUUGUUGAUCGUAGAUACCGUCGGAGAGUUCCUACAAUAAUGGAAUAAAAUGGUCCUCGUUAAAGUGAAAAUUCAUCGAUUGAAAUGUAUUGUAAGUGGUCCUUGAAUCGUUCUCCUGCGCAAUUGAAUUAGGAUUGUUGACAGUUUAACAGUAUUAAUAAGUUCUCUGGCAUAGCAAUGACAGGUUUGACAAUGUGUAUAGUGGAGAGAAAAAAUUUACAAUGGAGAUAAAACUCCAUGUGAAGUUUCCAGAUUUUUGCAAUUGACUUUCUCGCUGUUAGAAGAAAAAAAAAAAAAGAACCAAAGAAAGUAUCGAUGUUCUGAUCAGAAAAGCGAUGCUCUGCACUGUAUGUAUGUACAGACAGGCUGUACCAGUCAUCGAGGCACGAGCUAGUGGGCGAGGCCCGAGCGUCUGACCCAAUUUGUUCCAAGUAGAAGUAGAAAAUCACGAAGAAGUCCUAGAAAUGAAACUCGUGGCUUCGCUCAGUGAACAAACGAGAGUAAAAAAAAUCGAUUGAUUUUGAUAAAAAUACCAAUCCUGGUAAAACUCGUUCGGAUGAUUAAUGUUCAAACCUAUUAGGUUUGAUAAAAUCGUCUGAAAAUACUUCCAGCAGUGGAAAUGCUGAAUUUUGACGUUUUGUAGAUCAUGAUUUAUAUUCUUUCAGAAUAUUAUGAAGAAGAACACAGAAAUUGAACAGUUAUUUUCACAGACAAGUGAAGCAAUCAUCUUUGGGGAAUUACCUGUAGAAUCCUUGUUAAUAGCAAGUGAUUCUUUAGGAAAUUUUCUCAAACGAAGAAACUGUAGUAAAUUCAAAAGAGUGGCGAAUAAAAACUUGUGUAGUAGAACGAAUCCAUUCAUGGAUUAAUUGCACAUUAAAUUUUCCUCAAAAUGAUCAGUGAAAAUUUAGUUAUAGAAUUUUCUAAGUAACUCAAUAGGAGACACUGAAGUUCCCAUCUUUUGCACAUCCGAUGUUUCUUUAGGAAUGUUUGUUCGCAAAGAGCUCAAAAGGAAAUUGUGAAAUUACGUAAUUCGAACGUUUCUAAAGAGACAUCUGUUAUAUUUGAGAAGCCUCUGGAGAAUUCCUGAAGUAUCAAAGAUAUUCAUUUUCAAUAAACUAAUAAACAGUAAGAAACGAACAUUUCUCAAAGUGAUCUUUUCUUCACAAAGGAAGCGAACUGUAAGAUAAACUUUUGCAGAAGCAAUCUGUAAUAAAUCACAGAAGCCGUAACGGACCACGAGAUAUACAAAUUUUGCUUAAGUGGAGUAUCGUCUCGAGCAAGAGGAGGUUGAAAAUAACGCAUCUGGCCUGACGAGAUGAGAGAAAGGUGGACGUUACGGUACCAACUACCGGUCUCCCUUUCUCCAGUGCCAUUCGAGCGAGAAGAAAGGCAAAACGGGAAAAGAUGCACGCCGCAUUCUUGCAGCUCGCGCAAAAGAAAAACCAGUGAGAGUCGUGCGCACCCGCUCUGGAUCUUAUUAAAAGCAAACUGUUUCGGCCAGCCUCGCGUCGAAACGCUCUUCCGACAAAUGGAAGCUCUCAGCUUCUUUUCUCUGCUAUCUCUCAGUCCCUUUCUUCAUUUCGUUAUUCGUUGAUUACAAAAUACUAUACCCUGAAAUAUAAUCGAUUAGUAUACACCAUUUUUACUUUGCUUCUUAUACUUGGUAAAGCUCAAUGAAAUUUAGAUUGAUGGUAGAUUGAUAGUACAAUUUUCUUACAAAAUUCCUAUCAGAAUGAAGUGAUCUAGCAAAGUUAUUAGACUCACCUUUUAAUAAUAUCUGUCGCAUAAUAUGUCACUAUUUAUAGUAUGCUAACCAAUAUGUACAAAAGUAUUUAACUUGUUCAUGGCGUUCGAUACAUUUCAAUGAGCUCUCUGGAGAACUGGUCCGAUAAUUGUUAGAAAUAAACGCUGGAGAAAUUCGCGUCGUGGCUUGAGAACUGUUCGAAGUUUUUCUCCCUAAAAGGGGAGUCCCCGAGUCAACGAUGUUUUCACUUGUUCUGGAUUUUUCAGAAUAUUGGGAGUGGAUCGUCGUUUUGCAAGAUGAAACCAGUAUCGGUUGCAAGGAGAAAUCACUGGCUGAGACUACAAAAGAGAGGUUUACACCUCUGCCGCUAACUGGCAACAAUUCUGCUGAAAAAAAGUGAAAAUAUUUUGCAACUCAAACACAAAUGGCUCAGAGAAAAUUGAUACCAAGUUCCCUUUCAUCUGAGAUUGGAGAAGAAGUAUUUUUAAAUUAGUAACGUGUCCAAAAUUGCCUCUUUCUUGGGACACAAAGAUCAAGAAAGGACAACGCUUUCACUGUUUUGUGGCUUGUUGAAAUAAAAUGUAACGUUGACAGAAUGUCCUUGUCCUUGGCCUCUGUUCAACUAUUGUUGAACUUCUUAUGGAAACUAAAUUUAGUAAAAAUAUCUUCAGGAGUUCUGUUUCCUAGUGGAAAAUGAUUGAAUGGAGCUUGGAUUUGCUAGGAGAAAAGUUGCUAUUAGAAUGUUGAAUCACUGGUGAAAACUUCUUGAGAGGAAGAAACUGAACGGUUUAAAUUAGAGUGAAGUACAAAUUGAAGCAGUGAGCAUAUAAACAAAGUUGCUGCAUCGCGUUGGCGAGGAAGAGAAGAGAAAGAGAAAGAGAAAGGGAACUGCCGGAAUUGUUUACGUCGAAUUUUUGACAGUAGGUGGGUCAACACCGAGCCAGCUUUCAUCUGAAAGUACCUGGAGAAAGUAUUCGCACUUUUUGUGCGAGGAAAUUCUCUUAUCAAUUAGCCCAAGAUUCUAAAAGGAAAACAAAAAUGAGAGAAUGAAAAUGAGACGAAGAUAUGAGAAUAGAACAAAUGCGUUGUUGCAUUUUUUUUUUCUUUUUUUUCUUUCUCAGAUGUUAAUCGGAGAAUACUUUGCAUAUACCGCUCCGACUGUAAUUGAUGCAAUUACGAUUUCUAGUAAUUAACGGCGAAGCAAUGCCUUCCUUUUCUUAUGAACCACGUCAGAUUGCAGAGCCCAGUUACAAAAUGUUGCGUUUCACGUCGGGAGAGGCUACUGCAGAAGUGCCUCGCGGAAUUACGCUCGAAGAGAAAGUCGAAUAACUACGAGAUAAAUCCCGCCCUUAUCCCAGGAAUUCGCUGUAUGUCAGCAGUUCAACCGGAGAGAGAAGAGAAAGCGCAGUGUCGUAGAAUUUUAGAAGAGGAAUUCGUAGAGCGAGCAAAUUAAAAAAGAACAAAGAUGGUAAAUUGAUGUUCAAUCCAAAUAGCGUUGGAAUUAAGUCUUCACUAUGAAAAUCCACGAAUCGGGGCUUCAAACUUCAGAGAGUUCUGUUCUGUAACAAAAUUGACAAUACAAACUCGAUUAUACUUGUUGCCAAUAGGCAAAGAGGAGGGAUUGUAAGCACUCGCCGCUCGUUUCUCGAAGCGUGUAAUGACACGGGUAAGCGUUUCUGAGUAGACGCACUCAGGGGGGAAAGUGCAAGCUGUUGCACUUUGUUAGACGGACUUGUCGGAAGAGAAUGAGACGCGAGUGAAAUGACCUAGGCAGCAUGCGAAGGUUAAGGACGACUUUCACCUAAAACUUGCGGAUGAAGGCUGGCUGGAAGGCCAUUCGUCUCUUCUCUUUUAAAAAAUAUUGCUAAGAACAAAGGAGGAAUCAAAGUGAAAUAUAAGACAUGAUCUCUAGAUAGAUCAUUUUACAGCUCUGAUGCCAAAAAGAAAAAUGAAGCAAUACACUAACAAACAAUAUGUGAUUUAGGCAAAAAGACCGCAGCUGUAGUAGAUGAUAAUGAAGAACAGAAUCGUAAUUCUGAAACGACAAAUUUCAUCUCACACUGGGCAAUGAGAGUCUGAAAGAGAUUCCGUACACGAGAAUUAAUUGAAGAAGGCAUCACGAGGCAGUCGUAGAAGCAUGUCCGAGGCGGGUGUACACGUCGAGACAGUACACGAAGUAGCACUCGAAUGACGCCCGCAAGUAGAUCGAGGUUAAAGAUUUCUAUGCCCGAAGGUUAAGGAUGUCCCCGCAUGGUGUCUAUCGGUCCACCACGGGGUUUACACGUGAAAGGUUUCCCUCUGUCGAUUUACGUAAGGCAACGAAACUUGUUCUCCAUUGUUUUGUCCCCGGCGUCGAAAGUAAUUUCCGCUCUGUUCCCCCCCGGUUGCAUUUUCAAGGACAAAGCGAGCUCUUCCUCACUUGGGCGGAACUUGGGCUAGGUUAUGGAAAUACCACUAGCGAAUUCCGAGAAAAAUACGUACGUCAAUGACGAACAAUCCUCGUUUCCUUCUUUCAGGAAGUAUCCUGCACUUCUUCAAUUUAAUUUGGAACAACGCAGUUAAAUACACAGUGAACGUUUUUCGGAAGAUACUGUAUCAGUAACAGAGAGUUCUUAUUGUUUUCUUCAUUGAAAAAUACCUAAAAAAAGAGUAAUAUAUUCUUAUUCUUUGGAAGAUGUUCUUUGAAAUCUAUGUAAAUGAGUCUGUAUCAGUAACAAGGAAUUCUUAUUUCCUUGAUUGAAAAAUAUCUAAAAGAAGAGUGAUGUAUUUUUAUUCUUUGCAAGAUGUUCUUUCAAAUCUAUAGAAAUGAUUCUGUAUCAGUAACAGAGAAUUCUUAUUUCCUUGAUUGAAAAAUACCUAAAAUACCUAAAAGAAGAGUGAUAUAUUUUUAUUCUUUGGAAGAUGUUCUUUGAAAUCUAUGUAAAUAAUUCUGCAUCAGUAACAGAGAAUUUUUAUUUCCUUCAUUGAAAAAUAUUUAAAAGAAGAGUGAUAUAUUUUUAUUCUUUGCAAGAUGUUCUUUCAAAUCUAUAGAAAUGAUUCUGUAUCAGUAACAGAGAAUUUUUAUUUCCUUCAUUGAAAAAUACCUAAAAGAAGAGUGAUAUAUUUUUAUUCUUUGCAAGAUGUUCUUUCAAAUCUAUAGAAAUGAUUCUGUAUCAGUAACAGAGAAUUUUUAUUUCCUUCAUUGAAAAAUACCUAAAAGAAGAGUGAUAUAUUUUUAUUCUUUGCAAGAUGUUCUUUCAAAUCUAUAGAAAUGAUUCUGUAUCAGUAACAGAGAAUUUUUAUUUCCUUCAUUGAAAAAUACCUAAAAGAAGAGUGAUAUAUUUUUAUUAUUUGAAAUCUAUAUAAAUGAUUCUGUACCAGUAACAGGAAAUUCUUAUUUCCUUGAUUGAAAAAUACCUAAAAGAAGAGUGAUAUACUUUUAUUC